rnacentral:rRNA from 1 species
CUCCUACGGGAGGCAGCAGUGGGGAAUAUUGGACAAUGGGCGAAAGCCUGAUCCAGCCAUGCCGCGUGUGUGAAGAAGGUCUUCGGAUUGUAAAGCACUUUAAGUUGGGAGGAAGGGCAGUAAGCGAAUACCUUGCUGUUUUGACGUUACCGACAGAAUAAGCACCGGCUAACUCUGUGCCAGCAGCCGCGGUAAUACAGAGGGUGCGAGCGUUAAUCGGAUUUACUGGGCGUAAAGCGUACGUAGGCGGCUUUUUAAGUCGGAUGUGAAAUCCCUGAGCUUAACUUAGGAAUUGCAUUCGAUACUGGGAAGCUAGAGUAUGGGAGAGGAUGGUAGAAUUCCAGGUGUAGCGGUGAAAUGCGUAGAGAUCUGGAGGAAUACCGAUGGCGAAGGCAGCCAUCUGGCCUAAUACUGACGCUGAGGUACGAAAGCAUGGGGAGCAAACAGGAUUAGAUACCCUGGUAGUCCAUGCCGUAAACGAUGUCUACUAGCCGUUGGGGCCUUUGAGGCUUUAGUGGCGCAGCUAACGCGAUAAGUAGACCGCCUGGGGAGUACGGUCGCAAGACUAAAACUCAAAUGAAUUGACGGGGGCCCGCACAAGCGGUGGAGCAUGUGGUUUAAUUCGAUGCAACGCGAAGAACCUUACCUGGUCUUGACAUAGUAAGAACUUUCCAGAGAUGGAUUGGUGCCUUCGGGAACUUACAUACAGGUGCUGCAUGGCUGUUGUCAGCUCGUGUCGUGAGAUGUUGGGUUAAGUCCCGCAACGAGCGCAACCCUUUUCCUUAUUUGCCAGCGGGUUAAGCCGGGAACUUUAAGGAUACUGCCAGUGACAAACUGGAGGAAGGCGGGGACGACGUCAAGUCAUCAUGGCCCUUACGACCAGGGCUACACACGUGCUACAAUGGUCGGUACAAAGGGUUGCUACCUAGCGAUAGGAUGCUAAUCUCAAAAAGCCGAUCGUAGUCCGGAUUGGAGUCUGCAACUCGACUCCAUAAAGUCGGAAUCGCUAGUAAUCGCGGAUCAGAAUGCCGCGGUGAAUACGUUCCCGGGCCUUGUACACACCGCCCGU